rnacentral:rRNA from 1 species
UGGGGAAUUUUGGACAAUGGGGGAAACCCUGAUCCAGCCAUCCCGCGUGUGCGAUGAAGGCUUUCGGGUUGUAAAGUACUUUUGGCAGGAAAGAAACGUCAUGGGUUAAUACCCCGUGAAACUGACGGUACCUGCAGAAUAAGCACCGGCUAACUACGUGCCAGCAGCCGCGGUAAUACGUAGGGUGCAAGCGUUAAUCGGAAUUACUGGGCGUAAAGCGUGCGCAGGCGGUUCGGAAAGAAAGAUGUGAAAUCCCAGAGCUCAACUUUGGAACUGCAUUUUUAACUACCGGGCUAGAGUGUGUCAGAGGGAGGUGGAAUUCCGCGUGUAGCAGUGAAAUGCGUAGAUAUGCGGAGGAACACCGAUGGCGAAGGCAGCCUCCUGGGAUAACACUGACGCUCAUGCACGAAAGCGUGGGGAGCAAACAGG